rnacentral:rRNA from 1 species
GGACCCGCACAAGCGGUGGAUGAUGUGGAUUAAUUCGAUGCAACGCGAAAAAACCUUACCUACCCUUGACAUGUCAGGAAUUUUGCAGAGAUGCGAAAGUGCUCGAAAGAGAACCUGAACACAGGUGCUGCAUGGCUGUCGUCAGCUCGUGUCGUGAGAUGUUGGGUUAAGUCCCGCAACGAGCGCAACCCUUGUCAUUAGUUGCUACGCAAGGGCACUCAAUGAGACUGCCGGUGACAAACGGAGGAAGGUGGGGACGACGUCAAGUCCUCAUGGCCCUUAUGGGUAGGGGCUUCACACGUCAUACAAUGGUUGGUACAGAGGGUCGCGAACCCGCGAGGGG